GCCCGCGUUGGAUUAGCUAGUUGGUGGGGUAAAGGCCUACCAAGGCGACGAUCCAUAGCUGGUCUGAGAGGAUGAUCAGCCACAUUGGGACUGAGACACGGCCCAAACUCCUACGGGAGGCAGCAGUGGGGAAUAUUGGACAAUGGGCGCAAGCCUGAUCCAGCCAUGCCGCGUGAGUGAUGAAGGCCCUAGGGUUGUAAAGCUCUUUCACCGGAGAAGAUAAUGACGGUAUCCGGAGAAGAAGCCCCGGCUAACUUCGUGCCAGCAGCCGCGGUAAUACGAAGGGGGCUAGCGUUGUUCGGAAUUACUGGGCGUAAAGCGCACGUAGGCGGAUCGAUCAGUCAGGGGUGAAAUCCCAGGGCUCAACCCUGGAACUGCCUUUGAUACUGUCGAUCUGGAGUAUGGAAGAGGUGAGUGGAAUUCCGAGUGUAGAGGUGAAAUUCGUAGAUAUUCGGAGGAACACCAGUGGCGAAGGCGGCUCACUGGUCCAUUACUGACGC
rnacentral:rRNA from 1 species